rnacentral:rRNA from 1 species
CCUACGGGGGGCAGCAGUGGGGAAUAUUGGGCAAUGGGCGAAAGCCUGACCCAGCCACGCCGCGUGAGUGAUGAAGGCCUUCGGGUCGUAAAGCUCUGUGGGGAGGGACGAACAAGCCUGGGGCUAAUCACCCGGGCUCUGACGGUACCUCCUUAGCAAGCACCGGCUAACCCUGUGCCAGCAGCCGCGGUAAUACAGGGGGUGCAAACGUUGCUCGGAAUUAUUGGGCGUAAAGCGCGCGUAGGCGGUCUUUUAAGUCGGAUGUGAAAGCCCUCGGCUCAACCGGGGAAGUGCAUCCGAAACUAAAAGGCUUGAGUAUUGGAGAGGGUCGCGGAAUUCCCAGUGUAGAGGUGAAAUUCGUAGAUAUUGGGAGGAACACCGGCGGCGAAGGCGGCGACCUGGCCAGAUACUGACGCUGAGGCGCGAAAGCGUGGGGAGCA